AGAGUUUGAUCCUGGCUCAGAUUGAACGCUGGCGGCAUGCUUUACACAUGCAAGUCGAACGGGGUUAAGGGGCUUGCUCCUUAAUCUAGUGGCGAACGGGUGAGUAAUGCAUCGGAACGUACCCGGGAGUGGGGGAUAACGCACCGAAAGGUGUGCUAAUACCGCAUAUUCUGUGAGCAGGAAAGCAGGGGACCUUAGGGCCUUGUGCUUCCGGAGCAGCCGAUGUCUGAUUAGCUAGUUGGUGAGGUAAAGGCUCACCAAGGCGUCGAUCAGUAGCGGGUCUGAGAGGAUGAUCCGCCACACUGGGACUGAGACACGGCCCAGACUCCUACGGGAGGCAGCAGUGGGGAAUUUUGGACAAUGGGCGCAAGCCUGAUCCAGCCAUGCCGCGUGUCUGAAGAAGGCCUUCGGGUUGUAAAGGACUUUUGUCAGGAAGGAAAACCUAUUGGCU
rnacentral:rRNA from 1 species